CCGCCAACGCAGGUGACGAUGACGUCAGGACGCGAUGGCAUCUGUUCCGCCGCUUCUUUGAUCAUACUUCCAUGACCUUCCCUGCAACACGCGUUUCAAAAAAAGGAAACACCUAUAGCAAAGGCAGCUAAAUUGUGGUUCAGCCCUAACUACCACACGGCUUGUGUCUGCUGUUUUUGUAACUCACCUGGAUUCUGUGCCAGUUUCUGCGCAUGUUCAUUGGCUUCGUCCCACACUUUACCAUGGAUAAGAACAGUAGCUCCCUGAAUACAUGCAAAUAAUAAACUCACACGUUACCGAC